AAAUGAAUUGACGGGGGCCCGCACAAGCGGUGGAGCAUGUGGUUUAAUUCGACGCAACGCGCAGAACCUUACCAGCCUUUGACAUGUCCGUCGCGCCCUUGGGAAACCAGGGGUUUCGGUUCGGCCGGACGGAACACAGGUGCUGCAUGGCUGUCGUCAGCUCGUGUCGUGAGAUGUUGGGUUAAGUCCCGCAACGAGCGCAACCCUCAUCCUUAGUUGCCAUCGGGUUAUGCCGGGCACUCUAGGGAAACUGCCGGUGACAAGCCGGAGGAAGGCGGGGAUGACGUCAAGUCCUCAUGGCCCUUAUAGGCUGGGCUACACACGUGCUACAAUGGCAUCUACAGUGGGCAGCGAAGGGGCGACCUGGAGCGAAUCCCCAAAAGAUGUCUCAGUUCGGAUUGCACUCUGCAACUCGGGUGCAUGAAGUCGGAAUCGCUAGUAAUCGCGGAUCAGCACGCCGCGGUGAAUACGUUCCCGGGCCUUGUACACACCGCCCGU
rnacentral:rRNA from 1 species